AUAUGAUGAAAUUUUGGUUCUUUGUUAGGAUUGUGUUUAAUUAUUCAGGUACUGAGAGGAAUUUUUCUUACUAUAUACAGUAUACUUCAUGUAUUGAAUAUUCAUUUGAUUGUUAUUCAUAUUAUACAGUGUGUUAAUUAUGGAUGGGUAUUAUGGUAUAUUCAUGCAAAUGGGGCUUCUUUUUUUUUUUUUU